rnacentral:rRNA from 1 species
GGGGGGUGCAAGCGUUAUUCGGAAUCACUGGGCGUAAAGAGCGCGUAGGCGGUUUCUUAAGUCAGAUGUGAAACGCCCGGGGCUUAACCCCGGAAGUGCAUUUGAAACGGAGGGACUUGAGUAUGGGAGAGGGAAGUGGAAUUCCUGGUGUAGCGGUGAAAUGCGUAGAUAUCAGGAGGAACAACCGGUGGCGAUGGCGACUUCCUGGACCAAUACUGACGCUGAGGCGCGAAGGCGUGGGGAGCAAACAGGAUUAGAUACCUGGUAGUCCACGCAGUAAACGUUGAACACUAGGUGUAGCGGGUAUUGACCCCCCCUGCUGUGCCCGCAGCUAACGCAUUAAGUGUUCCGCCUGGGGAGUACGGCCGCAAGGCUAA